GUUCUAGGUAAACAAAAACAAGGGGAUAAGGGAAUAAGAGAAAUUUCAAGAUUGAGCUCUUUUUAUAGUCAAUACGUUAUUUGUAGCAGUAAAAUAAUUGUCCUCAGUUUGACAUUUGUUUUUAUUAUCAUCGUAAUAUUGCCACAGAUAUAACAAACGUGCAUACUUUAUAAGCGUUAGGUAAGAAAUACAUCUAAAAAUAAUUAAAAGUAAAACGGAAAUCGAUACUAUAAUAGCACAUUUCAUAAUCGCAUUAAGAUAUUAGUGAAAGUUUCAAGAUAAAUGUGUUAAAUGGCGUUGAUAUUAAAAAGCAGUUUAGAGAAAUGUUUAAAAGGAUUGUUAGAUAUUGUAAAAACUCAUUGAUUAGAGAUAUGCUGUACUACAAACGCGAUUUCGGUAAUUAUAUCAUUAAGGGCAUUUGAUUGCUGUUAAGUUCAACGCGUUCAUUUUAUAUAUACGUAUAUGUAGAAUGAUUCAUAAUUAAUAAUUUAUUGCAAUAUUAGAAGUUAAUGGCAAAAGAAAAUGUGGGAUAUUUGAAAUGUAUACCUCGAAAGUAGUAAUUGUCGCAUGAGUUGGCUCUCCUUUCUGUUUGUGCAAGGCACCGGGGCGUACACAUAAUGAAAGUUCAUCAGGCUGAUUAUUUACUUCCAUGUAACUACAAACCACCGCAAUUCGAAAUUACAUAGAUUGCGAGAAACAAGAACAUCGAAUAUUUUAAUUCAAAAUAAUCUGCAGCGGAUCUGUCAGUAAGGAAAGCAAAAUCGGCGAUUGUAAUUUUAUUUGUUUUUAAUAAAAAGCCACAAAAUUGUAUUUUACAUUGAAAAAAAAAUAAACAAAA